GAGCUGGCAGCGGCUGCGGGGAGGAGGUGCUGCGAGCAGGGCAGAGCCGGGGCUGACGGGGGCAGCGCGGCGCGGGCGGCGGAGCGGCGGGAUGCGGCAGUGCCGGGCCGCGGGGCUGGCGGGGCUGGCCGCGGUGCUCGUGGUGGCUGUGAGCAGAGCCCAGGUGCAGCAGGAGCCAUCGGCAGAGACCAGCGAGGGCACUGACGUCAACAUCACCUGCUCACACCUCAACAUACAGGCUGGAGAUUACAUCCAUUGGUACCGACAGCUCCCAGGCCGAGGCCCCGCAUUCCUUGUCACUACUUUUAAAGGCUCCAAGGAGGUGGUGGACCCGGCGGGGCGGCUGUGGGUGUCGGCAGACCGCCGCUCCAGCGCCCUGUGUCUCGAUCGGCCCCAGUUCAGGGACGCGGCGGUGUAUUACUGCGCCGUGAACCCACGCAGGGGGGAGCUGGGGCUGCGGCCGGGCACGAACCGCAGUGGGCGGACG